UGCGGUCCUCGGUAGUGGCCUUUGCGGGCGUCCUCACCGGCCGCGCGAAGGGCCUCGAUCGAAGACCGGG
rfam:Sinomonas sp. R1AF57 chromosome.